rnacentral:rRNA from 1 species
AAACUAGGAUUAGAUACCCUAUUAUUAUAUAUGUUAAGAUUUUACCUGAGUAGUAUUAGUUAUUUUCUUAAAACUUGAAGAAUUUGGCGGUAUUUUAGUCUAUUUAGAGGAAUUUGUCCCGUUAUCGAUAAUCCCCGUUAUAUCUUACUUAAAUUUUGUUAUCAGUUUGUAUACCGCUGUUAUAAGUUUAUUUUAUUAGAAUUAAAAUUUACUUUAUUUAUAAUUUUGAAUUAUUUCAAGUCAAGGUGCAGUUUAUGAUUAAGUGGAGAUGAAUUACAAUAUUUUUGAAUAAACGGAUUUAAUAUUUAAAAGUUUUAAUGAAGGUGGAUUUAAUAGUAAUUUUAUUUAUUAUGUUAUUUUGAUUUUAGCUCUAAAAUAAGUACACAUCG